UGCCGCCUGUGUCCUGAGCAGGUCCCU
rnacentral:piRNA from 1 species